rnacentral:tRNA from 2 species
CCAAGCGGUAAGGCACCGGAUUCUGAUUCCGGCAUUCCGAGGUUCGAAUCCUCGUACCCCAGCCA